UCCUCCUUAGUAUAGUGGUCAGUAUCCCCGCCUGUCACGCGGGAGACCGGGGUUCGAUUCCCCGACGAAGAG
rfam:Ixodes scapularis strain Wikel colony gcontig_1107728581940, whole genome shotgun sequence.